rnacentral:tRNA from 1 species
GGGGAUGUAGCUUAGUGGUAGAGUGCUUGCCUGGCAUGCACAAAGCCUUGGGUUUCAUGCCCAGUACCACCA